UUCAGACACGCGUGGAGUAUCCUUCGAUUUCAAUAGAUUUCCCGAGUAUCUUGUCCGUCACCGACUCAACGAGGGAUUCGAAAAGCGGGGAAACCGGAAAAACUCGAGAAACUACUCGUUACCGAUCGUUUGCGCGAGCAAAAUCUAAAUAAUCGAAAUAAGCACAAUCAUGUCGACAGCGUACUCCGAUUUACAUUCGAGAAUUGACUGCUCGACGAAUAUCAAAUACACUGCGAACUCAUUUGUGUACGGCUUUAUUCGACAACGGUUCUCAAAAAGUAUCGGAAAAUUGCAUGUACGUGUUUGAAAAUUCGGCUCCAGCUCGAAACGUGUGGAAAAUCGAGCGCAACGAGAAACGGAUUAUGCAUCGUUUACGAAGGGUAGCCUCCACGCUAUCCGUUGACAUGCUCUCGGUAAACGGCGAGUAACUUGUAUCAUUACCUUCACACUUUUCAAAUUCGUUCUUUCGAAUUCAUCGAAAUCGUUGUACGAUAAAGAAAGAAACAGAUAGAAAAAGAGAAAAAUGAAAACUAGAAAAGUGGAUCAACUAAUAGACACGCCACAUGCCUUCCAAGCAUUAACGAAUCGUCGUCGUCUAACGAGGGCAACCCAUACUAUGCUUACGCAUUGCAACGAAAUCAAGUGCACGCAACACGAAACGACGAAGCAACGAUUCUUGGACCAAUGCAAACUAUCCUUUGAAAGAUAUUCGGAUCGAUUCCGAAAUCCGAUUGGCCUGGAUCACUACUAAGUUCACUACUGAAAUCGUUACAAGUUCGAAUCAUCGGUGAUUCCGCAGUCGAGUAAAUAUACUCGUGAAACGUAAAGGAAACUACGCGCGAAACAAGCAUAACCACACUUGUACAAGCGUAAUCGCGCGUGCCGCACGUUUUUCUGCAAUCUUAUCAUCUUUUUCUUUGUAAAAUCACAUGAUCUCAGGAUUUCUAGAGCUUUGGAAAGAUUUAAAAGCGCGCUUUAUACUUAUAUUUGCAAAACUUUGAAAUCGACGCGAUACAUCGAUCGGGACCGGGUUUCGACGUACAUCUUUAAAUCUUAAAUUCAACAAAAUUUCUUACACGAGUACUCGACUAAUUACUUACUCAUUUAUUUAUAUGUAGGCAUAAGUAAACAUAAAACGUAUCAACUAUACCCACUAUAUGCAUCUUCUACAUUUACCACCAGGUGGCAUUUAAGUCGCAUCUUUUCCAAUUAUCGAUUUCACACUCAUUUUUUUCAUUUUUCUUACUUGGUUGUCAGACACUCCCGAAGUUGGCAACUUUAAUGACAAGCUACUAUGCAAAUGUUAAAUGAAAUGCCUUCGUUUCGAUUAUUAAUUUCAUUCGAGCAAAUAUAUUUGAAAGAUUUUCAGUGCGAUCCACGACGAAAUACUGGAAUUACUAAAAAAAUUCAAUUAGAUUUCAAAAUAUCGAAUUUCGCUGUAACAACUGCAUAGAAUUUUCCAAGAAUCCUGUAAUAUUAGGUAAAAAUGCCUUCGUUUGUAAUUGCAACAGAAAGGUCUUCUAUGGAGAAUAAUCAAAGUAUGAAAUAAAUUCU